AUGAACGCUAGCGACAGGCUUAACACAUGCAAGUCGAGGGGCAGCAUGAUUUGUAGCAAUACAGAUUGAUGGCGACCGGCGCACGGGUGAGUAACGCGUAUGCAACUUACCUAUCAGAGGGGGAUAGCCCGGCGAAAGUCGGAUUAAUACCCCAUAAAACAGGGGUCCCGCAUGGGAUAUUUGUUAAAGAUUCAUCGCUGAUAGAUAGGCAUGCGUUCCAUUAGGCAGUUGGCGGGGUAACGGCCCACCAAACCGACGAUGGAUAGGGGUUCUGAGAGGAAGGUCCCCCACAUUGGUACUGAGACACGGACCAAACUCCUACGGGAGGCAGCAGUGAGGAAUAUUGGUCAAUGGCCGAGAGGCUGAACCAGCCAAGUCGCGUGAAGGAAGAAGGAUCUAUGGUUUGUAAACUUCUUUUAUAGGGGAAUAAAGUGGAGGACGUGUCCUUUUUUGUAUGUACCCUAUGAAUAAGCAUCGGCUAACUCCGUGCCAGCAGCCGCGGUAAUACGGAGGAUGCGAGCGUUAUCCGGAUUUAUUGGGUUUAAAGGGUGCGUAGGUGGUGAUUUAAGUCAGCGGUGAAAGUUUGUGGCUCAACCAUAAAAUUGCCGUUGAAACUGGGUUACUUGAGUGUGUUUGAGGUAGGCGGAAUGCGUGGUGUAGCGGUGAAAUGCAUAGAUAUCACGCAGAACUCCGAUUGCGAAGGCAGCUUACUAAACCAUAACUGACACUGAAGCACGAAAGCGUGGGGAUCAAACAGGAUUAGAUACCCUGGUAGUCCACGCCGUAAACGAUGGAUACUAGGUGUGGGAGGUAUUGACCCCUUCCGUGCCGCAGUUAACACAAUAAGUAUCCCACCUGGGGAGUACGGCCGCAAGGUUGAAACUCAAAGGAAUUGACGGGGGCCCGCACAAGCGGAGGAACAUGUGGUUUAAUUCGAUGAUACGCGAGGAACCUUACCCGGGUUUGAACGUAGUCUGACCGGAGUGGAAACACUCUUUCUAGCAAUAGCAGAUUACGAGGUGCUGCAUGGUUGUCGUCAGCUCGUGCCGUGAGGUGUCGGCUUAAGUGCCAUAACGAGCGCAACCCUUAUCACUAGUUACUAACAGGUGAAGCUGAGGACUCUGGUGAGACUGCCAGCGUAAGCUGUGAGGAAGGUGGGGAUGACGUCAAAUCAGCACGGCCCUUACAUCCGGGGCGACACACGUGUUACAAUGGCAUGGACAAAGGGCAGCUACCUGGUGACAGGAUGCUAAUCUCCAAACCAUGUCUCAGUUCGGAUCGGAGUCUGCAACUCGACUCCGUGAAGCUGGAUUCGCUAGUAAUCGCGCAUCAGCCAUGGCGCGGUGAAUACGUUCCCGGGCCUUGUACACACCGCCCGUCAAGCCAUGGGAGCCGGGGGUACCUGAAGUCCGUAACCGCAAGGAUCGGCCUAGGGUAAAACUGGUGACUGGGGCU
rnacentral:rRNA from 1 species